GCAGAAAAUUGGCUUUUGCACUUGUGAGACCAUGGAAUUGCACCCCUACAUUGAUUGAUUGAGAAUCUGGACCCUGGUCCGUGGCCGAUAAAUUCCUUGUCUUCUCCGUAGGCAAGAGGAACAUUUUGGUCCAGCUCCUCUUAGUUUUCCUCUACCAACCAGUCACUCUCGAUGGUUGUAUUCGAUCAGAUGUAAGAGCAGAAAACUGUGUGUAGCGCUGCAACCGAGCUUUAGUGUCGUGAGUUAUCUUCACGACGGGUUCAUGUGCUGGACUGCUAAGAGAUUGCGACACGAGAGAGAGAGAGAGAGAGAGAGAGAGAGAGAGAGAGAGAGUCGGAAUCAAUCAAUGAUGUGUAGGUGUCCAUGUAGUGGACUGGUGGUGCAUAUUUGUAGCACAUAUGUUUUUCUAUGUUCCAAUUCUUCCAUUGCUUUUCUUGAUAUCAUACUUUGGUCCCCAUGUGUUUUGAUCGAGUGCGCAACCUUUUCCUGACUUUAUUAACUCCACCUGCGCCUACUUCCUCAAACUUGUCGCUGCCCGUCUCAGUUUUUAGGUCAUUCUUAUGGCGGACUUGCGCUUGCUAAUGUAAAUGCUCAGCAUGAGUGACGUGGUGAUCAGGAAAUUAAGGAACGGAUGCAGGGCAGAAGCGAGGAGAGGAAGUGAUAGAAACGGAGAGAGGGAGAACCACAAGACCUCCGAGGAGAUUCCUUAGGGAUGGACUUCCGAUGACGUCAAGUCGGUGCAGUCAUUGCGGUAGAGCUUGUUCUCAUUGAUUACUGUCUUCCCGUUUACCCGAUGGCACGCGCGCGGAGUAGAAGAGAAGGGAGAAGCAGAUUCUCUUGCCGAUGAGUGAGAUCUCUUACACUCUGUUCAAGCCGGUUGACAGCCGUGGCACGUAGAAUUGGCCUACGACUCCUCUGAUAAUAAUAUCAGUGACACCUUAAUUUCUUUACCAUCUUAUAUUCGGGCGGAGGAGGGAAGCAAUGAAGAAGAAGAAGAAGCUGAAGUUUUGAUCCUUUCUCUCGAUAUAAAGCCCCGGAUCCAUCAUCGCUCGGAGAGUGCGAAUCAUGAAAGGGAAGGCAUAUGCAAUGACCGUGAAAGUAGACGGCGGUGGUGAUGGAGAAUUCGUAUCCGGAGGUGUGGCCCGAAAGCAUUCCAUCAGGUUUGGCUAUGGUGCUUUCGCUUGGGGCCUGCAAUAUUCCAUUUGUUGGCUAAUCAGCUUCACCGAGAUGCCUCCUUGGUUUCGAAUUGAUGUGAGAGAGUUCGGUGGACGCUGGUCUUUGGGGGUGUGCUUCUUCGCUAGGUUAUUGCUGUGUCCCUCUCUCCCUGCAGACACAUGCUCAAACCUGGGAGAAACUAGGUAGAGAUGAUGAAUAAAAGUAUAGAGAGAGAGAGAGAUUGCUUGUUCCACAGUCUCCUCUGCUUUCCGACUACAGGGGGAGGGGAUCUACAAGAAAGUUAUCGGAAAGGCCAUUAACGGAGAUCCCACUAGGUGAUUAAACAAAAGAAUGUUGGAGUCGGGAGGGUGUGCUGCAUGCCUGCCUUCCUCCAUUCAAUUAUUGAAAGCUUUGGGGGGGGGGGGGGGGGGGUGUCUAGCUAGGAUUGAAACGGAGCGACAAGAAAAGAAGAAAAAGAAAAGACGAGGGACAAACAGAAGAUGGCUGAUGCCGCCAGUUCGGAGGAUUAGGAUCAGUCUUUUCUUUUCUUUUCUUUUUUCGGUUGAUCACGCCUCAAUGUAAGCAUCUCUUUUCGUGUAUCCUAUGCGUGCUUCUUCCCUACUCCCCACCCCACCCCACCCCAUCUCUCUCUCCUCUCCAUUCCAUCGUUUCCCCUGCGCUUUCUACCGGAUUGGAAUGCUCCCUGCCCACUCCUCGGCAUCGUUUAGAUUCCUCCUAGCUACCUUCGAUUAGACCCAUCAUCAUUCGUUCCUGAGACGACACCAGACGGAGCCCCUAACCCAACCCUAGCUGGGAGCCCCCAAGUCCAUGUGAACAGAUAAAAGACGAGAAGAAGCAUAGAACUUUUGGCCCACGCUCCCACCCCACCCCGGGCGAAUUACUGGUGAGAGAUCUAGGGGUUGCACAACAGUGGAUCUGCAGAGAAGCUGCCAACCUCUGCUCCUGCAACAACUCAAACUACUUCUACAACUAUCGCUACUCCCACACUGGUGUUUUUUUUUGGCAGAUCAUGUCCUGUGAAGAUAGCUGCUAAAUCUCGACAUGUCCUAUUAAACCAAAGGGAUGCAAGUUCCAAAAUCUCCCUCUACUCAUGUUCUUCUUCUCCGCCACUGCAUCACCAAUCCUCCUCUCUUGGCUCCCCCACCUCCCCCAUCCACCACUCUGGAGACAUGCUUAGCUCACUGAUGUCCGAUGGAGGAGGAGCUCGAGAAACCCACCCUCAUCCCAGUCAUCACCACCCGAGCCCUCAAAACGGCCUAAUUUCCUCGACUAUCCAUACUCGACAACUGUUGAUCAGCUGUGCCGACCUUGUCCACCGCGGCGACCUCCCUGCUGCUGACCGCGCGAUCUCCAUCCUCUCUGCAGCAGCAUCCCCCUGUGGCGAUUCCACCGAACGCCUCAUCCGCCAAUUCUGUCGUGCCCUCUCCGUCCGCGUCGGCCGCGUUUCGCCCUCCGCUGAUUCUUUGGGUUCCCUCCGAUCAUCAUACUUGUCCUUCAACCAAAUCUCCCCAUUCCUCCGCUUCUCUCACCUCACCCCAAACCAGGCAAUCCUCGAGGCGGUUGAUGGCCACCGCCAGAUCCACAUCCUCGACUUUGACACCUAUUACGGCCUGCAAUGGCCGCCUCUCCUUCAGGCCAUCGCCGAGCGCUCCGAUCCCAGUGAUCCUCCCUUCAUUCGUAUCACCGGAACCGGAAGCAACCUGGAAGUCCUCCGACGAACCGGUCACCGGCUUCAAAACUUCGCGCACUCUUUGGGCCUAGGGUUCCAGUUCCACCCUCUUCUCCUCCAUCCCACAAGCACCAGUUUGAAUUUCACCCCCUCUCCUUUCCAACUCCAUCCCGGCGAGACCCUUGUCGUGAACUGUGUACUGUUCUUGCAUAAACUACAAAAAGAGGGCGGGAAUGAGGACGGAUCCAGGGAUCUACAAGCAUUUCUGCGAACCAUACGAGCGAUGAACCCGUCGGUGGUGACGGUGGCAGAGAGGGAAGCAAGCCACAACUCGCCAAACUUCAUGCAGAGGUUCGUAGAGGCGCUGGACUACUACAUGGCAGUGUUCGAGUCAUUGGAGGCGACGCUGCCCCCGACAAGCCAGGAGAGGCUGGCGGUGGAGCAGGUCUGGCUGGGGCAGGAGAUAGAGGGCAUUGUCGGCGGGGAGGGUGGCGGGCACGAGAGGUCAGAGAGAUGGGAGAAUGUACUGCGUGACGCCGGAUUCUCAAGCCUUCAGCUCAGCAACUUCGCGGUGUCGCAGGCGCGGCUGCUGCUCCGGUUGCACUAUCCUUCGGAAGGCUAUCAGGUGGAGUUGGUGAGGGAUUCCCUCCUCUUAGGGUGGCAGAACAGGCACCUCUUCUCCGUGUCUUCUUGGCGUUAAAGAACCCGGAGGAGGAGAAAAAGGAAGUCCCACACGUUGCUCAACUACAACUAUUGUUGCCAACCUACUCGUUCUUUGGUUUCGCGAUGAUUAGCGAAACCAUAUCGAAUGGGCAAGUUUCGCACAUCGAUCUAUACAUAUCGCUGAGCGUGCGUUGUGUAGACCAUCAUUAGACACCCUGGCAGGAAACCCUAACCCUAGCUUCUUCCAUAUUCUACUAGGAGGAGGGAGGACAAUGCGGAUGCAAUGCACGUUGCAUGGGAAGUCUCGGAAGUUGUGAACACUAAAAGUCGUCUCCUCCUGCUUCCCAAGCUUGCAGUGGCAUCUUCUCUUUUGCUUGGUGCAUGCAGGAUGCUUUUUCGUGUAAUAAUCAUGCUUGGUCACUACUAACCAGUAUCAUACAAUAUACUUGAUCAGCAAAGUCUCCUCCCAUAAACAAAUCAAGGGAAGAAAAAGCUGCAAGAGGCUAGAUGUGUUAAGAUUUGAUCUACGAGAGCAAUCAUGGAGUAGUGGAUAGAGAUCCUCGUCGAUAGAUUAGGUCGAUCCCUUGUGCUCCAUUCCUGUCUUUCUAACCUUGUUUAUAUCUUGUCUUUGUGUUCCCUCAAAUUACCAAAAGAACAAGGUUACUCACAAGGCCAAAUUUGGUCACACAAGUCAUUCCAUUUAGAAGAUUUGAUCUUCCAUGUCCGAUAAGCUUGCUUGGUUUGUCCACCCCCAAAUUAAGCUAGCUUAUUAUUUCGAGAAAGAAUAUAGACUCAGAUGUGUGUA